GAAGCUGAGUAAGGGCACACGGAGGAUGCCUAGGCGGCGGGAGCCGAAGAAGGACGUGCUAAGCUGCGAAAAGCCCGGAGGAGGUGCACAGGACCUGUGAUGCCGGGAUAUCCGAAUGGGAGAACCUGCAUACCUGGAGGGUAUGCGCGAGAGAGGUAAGCCGGCGAACUGAAACAUCUAAGUAGCCGGAGGAGAAGAAAGUAAAAACGAUUCCCUGAGUAGCGGCGAGCGAACGGGGAGGAGCCUAAACCGUAUAUGUGUUAAAGCUGGCGGCGUUGCAUAUACGGGGUAGAGGGAACAUACUGGACUGAUGCCAUAAGGUCGAGUUGGUCAUGAUGUAAGCGGAACGCGGCUGGAAAGCCGGACCGUAGGAGGUGAGAGUCCUGUAGAGCGUAAAGUCAUGACGGCUUGUAUGUAAUCCCGAGUAGCAUCGGACACGAGGAAUCCGGUGUGAAUCAGCGUGGACCAUAUCACGUAAGGCUAAAUACUUCCGCCGACCGAUAGAGGAGAGUACCGUGAGGGAAAGGUGAAAAGAACCCUGAGCAAGGGAGUGAAAUAGAAUUUGAAACCGUGUGCUUACAAGCGGUAGGAGCCCUUAGGGGUGACUGCGUGGAUUUUGGUUAAUCAUCCUGCGAGUUAUGAUGUGUGGCGAGGUUAAGUGUAAGCGGAGCCGAAGGGAAACCGAGUCUUAAUAGGGCGACGAGUCGCAUGUCAUAGACGCGAAACCUAGUGAUCUAGGCCUGUCCAGGCUGAAGCUGAGGUAAGACUCAGUGGAGGGCCGAACUCACCGCCGUUGAAAAGUUGGGAGAUGAGAUAGGUCUAGGGGUGAAAAGCCAAUCGAACUAGGAGAUAGCUCGUUCUCUCCGAAAUGCAUUUAGGUGCAGCCUUGGUUGAAGAUAUGCGGGGGUAGAGCACUGUAUGGCCUAGGGGGCGUAUAGCUUACCGAAGUCAAGCAAACUGCGAAUACCGUAUAUUGUUUACCAGGAGUGAGUCUACGGAUGACAAGGUCCGUGGACGAGAGGGGAACAGCCCGGACCGCCGGCUAAGGUCCCAAAUCAUGUCUAAGUGGGAAAGGAGGUGGAUAUUCACAGACAACCAGGAGGUUGGCUUAGAAGCAGCCAUACCUUGAAAGAGUGCGUAAUAGCUCACUGGUCGAGAGUAUCUGCGCCGAAGAUAUAACGGGGCUAAGACAUGAACCGAAGCCGCGGAAGCGUGGUAACACGUUUGGUAGGAGAGCGUUCUGUAGGCCGUAGAAGGUGUCCUGAAAGGGAUGCUGGAGGUAUCAGAAGUGAGAAUGCAGGAAUGAGUAGCGAGAAGGAGGGCGAGAAUCCCUCCGGCCGGAAGUCCAAGGUUUCCAGGGGAAGGUUUGUCCGCCCUGGGGGAGUCGGGACCUAAGCAUAAGCAGAGCUGCGAAGGCGAAUGGAAAACAGGUUAAUAUUCCUGUACCGCUGUGUACUGACUGAGAGAUGGAGUGACGCAGGAAGGUAUGCGGGAAGGCUGACGGAAUAGCCUUUCUAAGGGUGAAGCGUGGACAUAUAGGCAAAUCCGUAUGUUUAAACGUGAGGCCUGACGGGUAAGUGCCAUAGGGCAUAAGCCGCAGAUCCUACACUGCCGGGAAAAACUUCUAUUUAGGGAAGCAGCGCCCGUACUGUAAACCGACACAGGUGGACAGAGUGAGAAACUUAAGGCCGACAGGACAACUCUGGCUAAGGAACUCUGCAAAAUGGCCCCGUAACUUAGGGAGAAGGGGUGCCCGUGCUACCUGAAGGGGGAGACACCCGGAGGGGAAGCGGGCCGCAGUGAAGAGUCCCAAGCAACUGUUUACCAAAAACACAGGUCUAUGCUAAGCCGGAAGGCGACGUAUAUGGGCUGACACCUGCCCAGUGCCGGAAGGUUAAGAGGAGGAGUGAGAGCUCCGAAUUGAAGCCCCAGUGAACGGCGGCCGUAACUAUAACGGUCCUAAGGUAGCGAAAUUCCUUGUCGGGUAAGUUCCGACCUGCACGAAUGGUGUAA
rnacentral:rRNA from 1 species